rnacentral:rRNA from 1 species
AUUGAACGCUGGCGGCAUGGCUAAAACAUGCAAGUCGAACGAGAACCUCGCAAGAGGGGACAGUGGCGGAAGGGUCAGUAAUGGGAUCGAACGCACCCAGAGGUGGAGGAUAGCGUUGGGAAACUGACGGUAAUACUCCAUGUCCUCUACGGAGAAAAGAUUUAUCGCCUUUGGAGCGGCGAUCCUCCUAUCAGGUAGUUGGCGGGGUAAAAGCCCACCAAGCCGAAGACGGGUAGCGGGUGUGAGAGGACGACCAGCCACACUGGGACUGAGACACGGUCCAGACACCUACGGGAGGCAGCAGUGGGGAAUUUUGGACAAUGGGGGGCAACCCUGAUCCAGCAAUGCCGCGUGAGUGAAGAAGGCCUUCGGGUUGUUAAAGGACUCUUUUGUUCUAGGGAAGAAACGGUAGAGUUCUAAUAAAGACUUGUUAAUUAGACGGUACCUGAAGAAUAAGACACCGGCUAACU